CCCUUAGAGUUUGAUCCUGGCUCAGAAUCAACGCUGGCGGCGUGCCUAACACAUGCAAGUCGAACGCGAAAACCCCGCAAGGGGUUAGUAGAGUGGCAAACGGGUGAGUAACGCGUGGGUGACCUGCCUUCGAGCGGGGGAUAACGUUCCGAAAGGGACGCUAAUACCGCAUAACAUCCUGCCUUUGAAGAGGUGGAGAUCAAAGCUAGGGAUCGCAAGACCUGGCACUUGAAGAGGGGCCCGCGUCUGAUUAGCUAGUUGGUGAGGUAAUGGCUCACCAAGGCUUCGAUCAGUAUCCGGCCUGAGAGGGCGGACGGACACACUGGGACUGAGACACGGCCCAGACUCCUACGGGAGGCAGCAGUGGGGAAUUGUUCGCAAUGGGCGCAAGCCUGACGACGCAACGCCGCGUGGAGGAUGAAGAUUUUCGGAUCGUAAACUCCUGUCGAAUGGGACGAACAGAUUGCGGGUUAACAGCCCGCAGUCCUGACGGUACCGUUAAAGGAAACCCCGGCUAACUCCGUGCCAGCAGCCGCGGUAAUACGGGGGGGGUAAGCGUUGUUCGGAAUUACUGGGCGUAAAGGGCUCGUAGGCGGCCAACUAAGUCAGACGUGAAAUCCCUCAGCUUAACUGGGGAACUGCGUCUGAUACUGGAUGGCUUGGAUUCGGGAGAGGAAUGCGGAAUUCCAGGUGUAGCGGUGAAAUGCGUAGAUAUCUGGAGGAACACCGGUGGC
rnacentral:rRNA from 1 species